UAGGUGUUCCUAUUGUUUUGGACAUAGUAGGUGUUCCUAUUGUUUUGGACAGUCAGUGUAUGUCAUGGAAAUAGGUGUUCCUAUUGUUUUGGACAUAGUAGCUGUUCCUAUUGUUUUGGACAGUCAGUGUAUGUCAUGGAAAUAGGUGUUCCUAUUGUUUUGGACAUAGUAGCUGUUCCUAUUGUUUUGGACAGUCAGUGUAUGUCAUGGAAAUAGGUGUUCCUAUUGUUUUGGACAUAGUAGCUGUUCCUAUUGUUUUGGACAGUCAGUGUAUGUCAUGGA